GAGUUUUCCCACUUGAUGCAUUUUUUUUUAAAUCAGAGGUCAUAUAUGACCCACAGUCCUUGCUUUCUCCCCAGCUUGCAGAGGUUGAGGAGCUUUGGCAUUCACGGGAAAACAAGCAUUUAGGAAGAAUGAAGAAGAAUCAUUGUCUGGCUUUUCGCAGGCUGCCAGAAGACUGCAGGGCAACCUGCACUGCAUACAUGCAUACUGGUCGAUAGUGUAUAGGGAUGAUUUUUCUGCACAGCCCACCAGGCUCCCAGAGGCAUGGCACUGAAUGUGUGAACAUGUGAGAAGCACAUAAAAAUAAUGGUCCCAGUGAUGAAGUGAAAGGAAUAGCUGAAGUGAUUUAAGGAUGUUGCUCCAUAGGAGAGACACUGGGAUCACUGUUUGACCCCAAACCUACAUAGGAUGUGGAAAUGAAGGGGUCUGAUCCGAACCUUGAUAUGAAAUCUGUGCAUGUGAGUAUGGCUAACUGAAGAUGCUAAAACGAGGUGAAAGUAUUCUUAGAGAAAUUCCUUUUCUUUCUCCUUAUUGUACACCAAAAAAUAUGGAAAGGUGGAGAUGAACGGCCACAGGUGAUGAAGAGAAGAAAUGUGGUCCACCCUUCUGAGGAUUUUCCUGGAUUAUUUCUAAUGCUCUGUUGCAGUGAUCCGAAAUUUCUGCACUUGCCAGAAAUGGAGAAUAUGAAUGCUUUCAGAGAAGUGAAGUACAGUUAAUUCCAAAUGCAGUGAAUAAAGUGCUUGAAAACUGAAGCUUGGAUAUGUUUGCCCAUUUUUUUGGCUGGACUGAAGACUAAAGGUUGGUUGGAAUACUUCUGAAUAAAUUGUGAAUGAAUGUUUUUGUUAGCAUAUGCCAUUUCACCUAUGCCAAAACAGAUUGCAAAGCAAUAUUGGCACUGGUAAAAGAGAGAGAGAGAAUAAGAGGUCUAAAAUACGAGAAAGAAACUUUGCUUCUCCUAAUCUAAACAGAUGUGAAAGGAGAGCUUUGCUUGUAAUCAGAGCGAAGGUUUGUAACAAACUCACCUGUGUGUUUCAAAUUUCAGACUGAAAACAGGCUUUGUGAAACUAGUGACAUCUAUGAAAAUGAUUAAAGAUGUCUGCUUUCAAUCUAAACUUGUGCGGAAUCUGAGGACUGGUCUGGAUUAACAUCCUGUUUCAAUGGUAUAUAUAUGUGAAUGGGACCAACCCUCUGCAAUACUUGGUUUUUUGACAUCUUUGAGAGCAUCAAACACAUUGCAGUGCUGGUGCAGCUGAAGCAGAAGGUGGUGAGACAGGGAGAAGCCUGUGACAUUGAGGAUCGUGUCCACUGUGGUGACCUGUUCCCCUGGUGUUAUUGUAGCUGUGCUGCAGCUUCUCCUUGGCACUUGGACUUCUCUGUCACAACCCUGGGUCGUGUAUCUCCUGAUGAGCUGCAUCUGGCAACUGCCCAGAUGCAGGAGAGAUACAGUGGAGCUGUGCAGCAAAUGCCUGCGAUGCAAAGCUGGAACGUCAAGGUGGGAGUGUUUUGUUCAGUCAGUCAUAUCUGAUUGGCCUGUUUCUAGGAUUUGUUCCUAAAUGUUUUAGAGGUCUUUGGAGUCUGCCAUGCCAGUUUGCCCUGGGUGCAGCUUUUUGCUCUGGUGUCACUUGUUCAAGACUUAUAAAUGCAUGUUGUCUCCUGCUGUUUUUCUGGGCGGAACGUUUACAUUGAUGUCACACAAGUCAUAGAAUGGCUUAAAUACUUUCGGUUUUCCUAAUAAACUAUUUCUGACAUAGAGGUUGUUCCUGGGGUUAUUACAAACAGGGCUGGGCUGGGCUUUGCA